GAUGAACGCUGGCGGCGUGCCUAAUACAUGCAAGUCGAGCGAACAGACGAGGAGCUUGCUCCUUCGACGUUAGCGGCGGACGGGUGAGUAACACGUAGGUAACCUACCUAUAAGACUGGGAUAACUUCGGGAAACCGGAGCUAAUACCGGAUAAUAUUUCGAACCGCAUGGUUCGAUAGUGAAAGAUGGCUUUGCUAUCACUUAUAGAUGUACCUGCGCCGUAUUAGCUAGUUGGUAAGGUAACGGCUUACCAAGGCAACGAUACGUAGCCGACCUGAGAGGGUGAUCGGCCACACUGGAACUGAGACACGGUCCAGACUCCUACGGGAGGCAGCAGUAGGGAAUCUUCCGCAAUGGGCGAAAGCCUGACGGAGCAACGCCGCGUGAGUGAUGAAGGUCUUCGGAUCGUAAAACUCUGUUAUUAGGGAAGAACAAACGUGUAAGUAACUGUGCACGUCUUGACGGUACCUAAUCAGAAAGCCACGGCUAACUACGCG
rnacentral:rRNA from 1 species